rnacentral:rRNA from 1 species
AUGAGCAGCGCCGGCAUGGAGUGCUCGGGGAGCGAAGGCGGCGGCGGCAUGGUGGCGCCGUUCGUGGCCAAAACGUACGCGAUGGUGGACGACCCGGCGACCGACGCCGUGGUCGCGUGGGGGCCGGCCAGCAACAGCUUCGUCGUCGCCGACCCCUUCUCCUUCUCGCGCGCGCUGCUCCCGGCCCACUUCAAGCACUCCAACUUCUCCAGCUUCGUCCGGCAGCUCAACACCUACGGCUUCCGCAAGGUCGACCCGGACCGGUGGGAGUUCGCGCACGCCUCCUUCCUCCGCGGCCAGACGCACCUCCUGACCCGCAUCGUCCGGCGCCGCAGCGGCGGCAAGCGUGGCAAGGAAGACGCCGACGAGGAGGAUGAAGACAUCAGCAGCAAGAUGUUAGCCAUGGAGGUGGUCCGGCUGAAGGAGGAGCAGAGGGCCACCGAGGACCGCUUGGCGACGAUGUGGCGCCGGGUGCAGGACGCCGAGCGCCGGCCCAAGCUGAUGCUCGCCUUCCUCCUCAAGGUCGUCGGCGACCCCGACGUGCUGCGCCGCCUCGUAGGCAACUCGGGUGGCGGCUGCGGAUUAUUCCCCGGCGAGGGCGCGGAGGCCAAGAGGCCGCGGCUGCUUCUCGACGGGGAAGCCCAGAUGGGCAAGAAGAAGAUGCGCGUCGACGGCGACGGGCUCUUGUACGAUAUCAACCGGCAGGAGGCCUUCGUGCGGGAACCCAGGGUCAACUUCACUGGUUUCUACACCGGAGGCGAUGGCUUUAGCGAGGUGCCGGUGGACGACCCGCCGUACGCUUUCCGCAUGGACGGUGGUUACUGA